ACAAAUCCAGGAAGUAUUUUGGUUAGACAAGGCGGAAGCGUAAUAUUUACUGAACCUAAAAGUGUUUUGGGAGAAAACACAGUUAAAGAGAAAUAGCGCUGAUAUAAGCCAUUGUUCAUAGGGCGGCGCGGAGAUCGUUUUUUUUUUGUUGCUGGGUAAACUCAACUGGGUCCCUCCACUUUUAUCUGCCCAUUUGGUUCUUCCCAGGAGAAGUUUUAUCUGUAACCCCGCUCACCAUCAGUACCUGUGUGUCCAGGCUCAGCUCCCGUGGUUGCAACCCAUUAACCUGUAGUUUCAGGCCAUCUCAUCCAUAACAGUCUUCUGCCAAUGGCUGGGCGCGGAGGAGGAUCUAUCAGGCCUAAUGGUGCCACACCAGCAAACAAAAUCUGCCAGUUCAAACUGGUGCUCCUAGGAGAGUCGGCAGUGGGAAAGUCCAGCUUAGUUCUUCGCUUUGUCAAAGGCCAGUUUCAUGAAUUCCAGGAGAGUACCAUCGGAGCCGCCUUCCUUACUCAGACUGUCUGUCUGGAUGACACCACUGUGAAGUUUGAGAUCUGGGAUACAGCGGGUCAAGAGCGCUACCACAGCCUGGCUCCAAUGUACUACAGAGGAGCACAGGCGGCCAUCGUGGUCUAUGACAUUACCAACGCAGAUACUUUUGCACGAGCAAAAAACUGGGUGAAGGAGCUGCAGAGACAAGCCAAUCCCAACAUAGUGAUCGCUUUGGCUGGAAACAAAGCAGACAUUGCAAACAAGAGAGCCGUAGAGCUGCAGGAGGCGCAAGCAUAUGCUGAUGACAACAGUCUACUGUUCAUGGAGACCUCAGCCAAGACAGCCAUGAAUGUCAAUGAAAUUUUCAUGGCUAUUGCAAAAAAACUACCGAAGAACGAUCCACAGGGUGGAGCUGGACAAGGGGGACGGACCAGGACAGGAGUGGUUCUACAAGAUACCGCUCCUCAGGGCCGCAGUGGCCAGUGCUGCAGUGGAAAUUAGCAAGGACAAAACAAUGAACUUAGUGAGCGAGCCCUGAACAUCGAUUUAAGGACAGCACGUAGCUAAAACCCAGAGAGGGACCUGGACAUGACACAGUUGUAAAGAAAACCCAAGACUUUGCUUACCAAAGCAAGUCAUGACUUCAUAGGCUACACUUUUGAAUAUGUUUCUGAACUGUGCAAAAAAUGCAGUUGUUUGCAUUCAUUGUGUAUUCAUCCCUGUAACACCAUAGAGUUGUUAGCCUUUUUUAAAAGAACUGUGAAAAUAACUUGUAAAUUUAAAAAGUAAUAAAUAACAUGCAGGAUUGGUUUUGUUUUUAGUUAUUUUUACAGCGCGUGGUAAAUAAUUAGAGGACAUUUCCUGUGAUUUUUGCAUGUUUUUAAGUUCUGUUUGGUUCAAACUACACAGACGGGACUGGGUUUUAAAUUGGAAAUUACAUAUGAAAAAUCAGUCGUUAUGGAAGCUGCCGUCUUUCUCUGACUCAGUUGCAGGAGAGUCUUGAUUCAUGUCAUGGUUAAUACAUGAAUUAGCUGCUUCUCUUUUGGAUGACAAUUUAAAAAUAAUGUGCAAGGUUUGGUGUUAUUUUCAAGUAUUUAUUUUGUCGAUUUCCUUACUGUAGUUUACGCUUGAUGACUAUAAAUAUUAUUUAAAAAAAUGUCAAAUAUAAAAUAUCUGCCUGGUUGUUAUCCAAAAAAGUGUUAAACAGGUGUUAAAAGAAUAUCGGGGAUCAUCUUAUAAUCAGGAUUGUCUUAUAUGUAUGUGGUUCAAAAUAGUUGGUCCAAAUUCUUCAUGUCUUACUGAUAGUAUGAUGCACAUAUCAUUAUGUGCAGUGGUUGUAUUAUAUGGCAGUAUGAGUGUGCAUUUGGUCCUAACAAACUUAGGAGUGUCCUAUAUAUUCUAUUCACCUUGUUCCCUAAUUCGGAAGGCAUUUUAUAAAAGGGAAAAAUAGCAGUAUGUUUAUCCUUAAUAUGGCUGCCACAAGUUGCAAUAAAUCACCUUAAUGGUUUUUACGGCACUGAUUCUGGCUCUGUUGUGACAACAAACUACUUUGUGUUAUUUUGCUAAAUACAUAUUUGUUUCUACAUAAUGUUUUGUUCUGGCAGCUGACUCAGAGAUAUGUCAAGGUGUGUUUGUGCCUCCUCUGAAAUUGUAGUAACACAAAGCUGCUUCAACAAGGUGCAGCUUAGAGCCACUGUAUGUUUGGCAAAAUCUUGAUUAUAUUAGGUAUAUGUGACCUGAAACUAAUCUGAAUCUAACAUUUGGCAAAAAAAACUAUUACAAGUCUAAAGUGUACAUUUGCUGGAAUGUGAAAUAAUAAGAUAGCAGAAUCAGCAUCAUUAAACAUUUCCAACCACUAGAUGACAGCGUCACACUUGAUUCAGGAGACUUGGAGACAUGCAGUAAAUGCAUCUUCUUGAGUGUAUGUGGCCAUUAAUUUACAUAGAAGUAAGAAAAAUGCCACAUUCAUUCAGUGAUCAGCAUUAUGAUCAGUUGGUUGACAUGCUGUACAUUGAUCUGCAAUAACUUUGAUAACUGAUUAGAUGUUGGAGUCAGUUUUCAUGUAAAACCCUGUGUGUUUAUUUUUGUGGCAGAGCUGACACAUAAACUCAGUUUGAUAGUUUGAUCAAGUCUGUGUUUGCAAAGUGGUGGUGUACAGUAUGUAGGCAGUCAUGCAAAAAGCCAUCACACUGUGGAAAACACUGUUUUGCUGAGAAAUGGUGGCACAGUGGUGGUGUGCUUUGUUUGUGUUCACCUGAUUAUUCUACAGCUCAUUUUAAAGUGGCUUUUUUCCUGGGGUAAUUCACUGGUUCUCUUUGUUUUGAUGAAUGGUGCCCUCUUAAUAGCG